CGGCGCCCACGAGCCUUCUCAAACUUGCGUCCUUUGGAUCGCACAUAGGGCUUGGCAUGACUUUGUGGUACACCAGGUGCCCCGAAGUGCUUCACGGCUUCACGAGCAUUCUUAGGUCCCCUCAGCAAUACCUUCACAGUAGAAAAAGUGUGAUUACUACUCCGAUGACCAUACAGAAGGCACUAGAGCUCGUUAAACAAAUCAUAUACACUCCGGAAUGAUAUGAACCUAAUAAUAAAUCAGAGGACAAAAAUCUUAGUGGUACAAGAUGACACAGAUGAUCACCACGCAGGGUCAGACUAGAAAGCCUUGCAUUAAUCGGAGCAGGUGGCAACAAACUACUACUAAGAAUCAACAAAAAUGUAUCUAAGACCUAUUUGUUCUCGCCUUGCUCACCGACCGAACACUUGGCCUAACUGGGACUGCUAAUAAGAAAAGGAAUAGAUUGACUAACACUCGUAGAAUUUCAGCAAGUAAGCUUACGCAAUUGGAUCCAGUCGGAGCUCUCAGGGCAAGCUGGUCGAAAGUCAAAACCUCCCCUCCGCUCUUCAAGAUACGAGCACGAGCUGUUUCGGUAAAUCGAAGAGCAGCCACCUUCAAAGCUGGAACUUCGUAGAUUCUAGUGUCGUCAGUGACAGUACCCACG
rnacentral:lncRNA from 1 species